UACGAAGGGGGCUAGCGUUGCUCGGAAUGAUUGGGCGUAAAGCGUCUGUAGGUGGCUUUUUAAGUCUGCCGUCAAAUCCCAGGGCUUAACCCUGGACAGGCGGUGGAAACUACCAAGCUGGAGUACGGUAGGGGCAGGGGGAAUUUCCGGUGGAGCGGUGAAAUGCGUAGAGAUCGGAAAGAACACCAACGGCGAAAGCACUCUGCUGGGCCGACACUGACACUGAGAGACGAAAGCUAGGGGAGCGAAUGGG
rnacentral:rRNA from 1 species